CCUACGGGAGGCAGCAGUAAGGAAUCUUCCACAAUGGACGAAAGUCUGAUGGAGCAACGCCGCGUGCAGGAUGAAGGCUUUCGGGUCGUAAACUGCUUUUAUAUGGGAAGAUUAUGACGGUACCAUAUGAAUAAGGACCGGCUAACUACGUGCCAGCAGCCGCGGUAAUACGUAGGGUCCAAGCGAUAUCCGGAAUUACUGGGCGUAAAGCGUGUGUAGGUGGAUUAAUAAGUGUGAUGCGAAAUCCGGCGGCUCAACCGUUUGGACUGUGUCGCAUACUGUUAGUCUAGAGGACGGCAGAGGUAAGUGGAAUUACGGGUGUAGCAGUGAAAUGCGUAGAUAUCCGUAGGAACACCAAUGGCGAAGGCAGCUUACUGGGCCACACCUGACACUGAGACACGAAAGCGUGGGGAGCGAACAGGAUUAGAUACCCUGGUAGUCCACGCCGUAAACGAUGCAUACUAUUAGUAUGGGGUAUCGACCCCCUGUGCUGAGAAGCUAACGCGAUAAGUAUGCCGCCGNGGGAGGUACGAGCGCGAGAACGUUAAACGUACGUUAAAGAAGUUAGUUACGGCGUGAGACGUUGCCGACGGACGACGACGAGGGAGGAGG
rnacentral:rRNA from 1 species